rnacentral:pre_miRNA from 1 species
UCAGUCUUUUUACCUGGCCGUGUGGUUAGUGAUUGGUACUAUUAGCAAUCAGCUAACUACACUGCCUAGUAACUAGACUC